rnacentral:snRNA from 13 species
AUAGUUACCUGACAGGGGAAACACCUUGAUCACAAAGGAGGAUUACCAGGGUGAGGUUCGGCCACUCUGGUCGUGCUGACCCCUGCAAGUUCUCCAAAUGUGGGAAUCUCGACUGAAUAAUUUUAUAUAU